rnacentral:lncRNA from 1 species
UCAUUCAUACAAUAGUUACAUACUGCACUAUUAAUACCUAGUCCCACAUGUCAUAGACACACUGCGUCUUAAAAUCUAUGUAGCCCGCUGCUCUUCUCUCUCCUGAUUUAUCUCUUUAAAAUAUAUUUGCAGCUGGUUUAUAGCCUGCUAUUGUACAUGCUCUUAUGGGUACCCAAUUGAAGUGAUGAUGCGGUAGAGCGACGAUAAUGACGUGGUGGGGCAUGCGAGUCUCACACGGACCGAUCGGAAUUCUGGGUCAAACCGAGUCGCCUUUUUGUAAGUCAAACGCGUCCACGUCAACCAGCGCGUGGUGCAGUGUACCGUACGGUGGCAGUUACUGCCAUUGUCUCCCAGCUUGACGUCAUUGCUCUCAGCCGGUUUGCAACUUCUUUUUUUCCUUUCCAGUGUAAAAGAAAACCCCUUCACACCAAAAUUGAAAGUUUGGUUGAAAUUGGAACGAUGUGACGGAAAAACAGAAAGUUUGUGUGUGUAGGAAAGUUUUGAUGUGAUGGCAAAGUUGGAAAUUUGAAGAAAAAGUUUGGAACUAAACCCAGCCUAUAUAUAUAUAUAUAUAUAUAUAUAUAUAUAUAUAUAUAUAUAUAUAUAUAUAUAUAUAUAUAUAUAUAUAUAUAUAUAUAUAUAUAUGGUACUUUCUCCGUUUUAUAUUAUAAGACUUUCUAGUAUUGUCCACAUUCAUAUAUAUGUUAAUGAAUCUAGAUAUAUAUGUGUGCGUCUAGAAGAUCUAUAUAAAUAUGUGCAAUGCUAGAAAGUCUUAUAACCUGAAACGGAGGUAGCAGUACUCUCUUAAUUUUGUUGACACACGACACACUAAAAAAAACUCAAAUAGUAGAAAAUGAACACAUUUCUGAAAAUCACUGUAGAUUAUAUUCAUAGUGAAAAUAUCAUUAUACAAUUGAAUCGGCUUCAUGCACAUCCGCGCCAUAGGGACUCGGGACGAUCGGAUCUGCACCCUAGGAUCCCACAGCGCUGGAUUUGGCCAUCACCUUGCCCAGCGUCGCCUCGCAAUCGUCUUUGCGUGCGAUCGUCGUCAUUGUGGACAGCGCUCUCCGCAUGCACAUGUGGACGACAUUGGCAAGGAGUGUCAUCGGCGGUGUGGGAGGAGGAGAGGCCGAGAAGAGAUGGGAGGAGGAGAGGUUGAGGAUAAGAGGCAAGUGCAC